GACGAACGCUGGCGGCGUGCUUAACACAUGCAAGUCGAACGGAAAGACCCUGCUUUUGUGGGGUGCUCGAGUGGCGAACGGGUGAGUAACACGUGAGUAACCUGCCCUUGACUUUGGGAUAACUUCAGGAAACUGGGGCUAAUACCGGAUAGGAGCUCCUGCUGCAUGGUGGGGGUUGGAAAGUUUCGGCGGUUGGGGAUGGACUCGCGGCUUAUCAGCUUGUUGGUGGGGUAGUGGCAUACCAAGGCUUUGACGGGUAGCCGGCCUGAGAGGGUGACCGGCCACAUUGGGACUGAGAUACGGCCCAGACUCCUACGGGGGGCAGCAGUGGGGAAUAUUGCACAAUGGGCGGAAGCCUGAUGCAGCAACGCCGCGUGCGGGAUGACGGCCUUCGGGUUGUAAACCGCUUUCGCCUGUGACGAAGCGUGAGUGACGGUAAUGGGUAAAGAAGCACCGGCUAACUACGUG
rnacentral:rRNA from 1 species